rnacentral:rRNA from 1 species
UACGAAGGUCCCAAGCGUUAUCCGGAUUUAUUGGGUUUAAAGGGUGCGUAGGCGGGCUAUUAAGUCAGUGGUGAAAGCCCCAAGCUUAACUUGGGAACUGCCAUUGAUACUGAUGGUCUUGAGUACAUUUGAGGUGGGCGGAAUGUGUCAUGUAGCGGUGAAAUGCUUAGAUAUGACACAGAACACCGAUUGCGGAGGCAGCUCACUAAACUGUAACUGACGCUGAGGCACGAAAGCGUGGGGAGCAAACAGG